rnacentral:rRNA from 1 species
GACGAACGCUGGCGGCGUGCUUAACACAUGCAAGUCGAACGAAAAGAGGGAAAGAGCUUGCUCUUUCCGGAAUUGAGUGGCAAACGGGUGAGUAACACGUAAACAACCUGCCUUCAGGAUGGGGACAACAGACGGAAACGACUGCUAAUACCGAAUAAGUUCCAAGGGCCGCAUGGCCCAUGGAAGAAAAGGUGGCCUCUACCUGUAAGCUAUCGCCUGAAGAGGGGUUUGCGUCUGAUUAGCUGGUUGGAGGGGUAACGGCCCACCAAGGCGACGAUCAGUAGCCGGUCUGAGAGGAUGAACGGCCACACUGGAACUGAGACACGGUCCAGACUCCUACGGGAGGCAGCAGUGGGGAAUCUUCCGCAAUGGGCGAAAGCCUGACGGAGCAACGCCGCGUGAGUGAUGACGGCCUUCGGGUUGUAAAACUCUGUGAUCCGGGACGAAAAGGCAGGGUGCGAAGAACAAACUGCAUUGACGGUACCGGAAAAGCAAGCCACGGCUAACUACGUG